AGUAAAGUGCCUGAUAAAAGGAUUAUUCUGAUAGGAUAAAUUAAGCAAAUUUUUACCUUUAUUA
rnacentral:tRNA from 1 species